CAGUCUUUGUCACUUUUUCCUCCAGGCUACCCUGUCUCUGUGCCCCAGUUCCUGCUCCUUCUCAUCUUGUUUUCGUCCCCCUCUUAUGGGUCCUUUAACAUAUGACAGCAUUUUAUUUAUUGUAUUUGUUAUCUUAUAGUAUGAACUCCACUGGGGCAAGCAUUUUAGCUCGUUUGGUUUAUGAUGUAUCUAAAGUGCAAAGAGCAAUGCCCGGUACAUGACAAACAUUACAUGCAGAUUAUUGAUUGAAAAGAAUUUGCUGAUUUAUUCAACAGGCACAAAUUGAAUAUUUGCUGUGCACUUGGCCUUAUGCUAGGUGCUGAGGUAAAAUGAUGAGGACAGUCAGAUGUGGCUUCUGCUGUCAGGCAGCUUAGAGCCUGAUGGCGAAUCAGAGGCAUUAACCCAAACCCCAGAACAAGCCUGGAGAAGCAGAUAUCAAUGUCUCCUGCUGCCGGACAUGGCUGUGUGGCCCAGUUUUGGACAAUGAGAGGUAAAGAGAGGUCUUUCAAAGGUUUCUGGGAAGGAGAGUCCUCUUCUAGAUAAGGAAUAAGAGUGGAAAUUGUUCUAUACUGCUUCCAGUUUCCUGUCUUUGAGGAUAUGUAACUUAGAGUUCAUGUGAAAUAGCAUCCCUUGCUGCCAUCAGGAAAUACUGAGAACCUCAGCGUCACCAACCCAAGACCUGACACUGCUAAACUUCUGAAUCAAGGCCAAAAACUGCCUCCCUUUUCCAUAAGAAAAUUGAGUCUUUCAUUAAGCCAGUAUUUGGUUAUUUGAUAUAUGCAGUCAAAAGAAUUCCUGACAGAUACGGUAUAAUACCAGGCAUGUUUCCACUCCUGGCUUUAUUUUAAUCUUUAAGGUUUGAGAAAAAAUGCCCGUCACUCCAUUUUCUGGCUCAGGGUAUGGGCUAAGAUGGUAACAUGGCGAAAUUUAUUGUAUUUGUUUUCUCAAUUUCCAUUGCUUCUUCUUGGUGAUAUUAUCCUGAUUUCUCCUCAGGAGGCUGGCCCUCUCUCUUUCUCAGACCUUAGGGCUUAAUGGCAUUGAUCCUACCCUGACAACCCUAAGGUCUGAGACAGAGAGCAUGGCAAAUCAGAGUAUUGUACUCCAGUGACAUUGUGACUGUUUCAGAGGUAGGACCAAGAAACAGAGAGUGAGAUUAGAUCUUGAUGGCAGAAGUCAAGCCCCUUUACUGAGAUAAACCUGAGGCCUUGUCUAAAUCCAGAAAUUAGUAGGUGAGAAAAAUCUAUUCUCUUUGUCAUGUGUAGUUUGAGUUAAAUUCUUGCAAUUCCAGCAACCAAAAGAGGACUGACUUCUAAAAUCCUGCCACUAGAACCACUGCAUUUUCAUCAUCAGUGGCAUCUGUGUUGAAAUGUUCUAACAGAAGCUUGGCACAGAUCAAAAAUGCUAUAAAGGGAAUUCCAGCUCUAAGUAGGAAACUAAAGUAAAUUACUACUAAGGUCUCUUUCAAUUCUCAAAUUAUAUGAUACUAUAAACACCCCAUGUCUAUGUGGGAGACUAUGGCAAUGGGAAGUUUGCAGUGCCUUAAGAAAUGGUGAGCAGUCUGCAUUUGCGUAGUAUAUUCCUGAUGAAUGUACUAUGCUAGAUGAAUUGAAGGGAUUGUGGGGAUUUUAGUAUUAUGGAAAUAACAUCAGACUGUUAGUCUGGAAGCAUAGAUUCUGAUUCCAUUUCAGAACAGGGUCCCACUUUAAACCUUGGCUAGCUAGAUUGAUUUAAGCAAGUCCUUAAUCCACUGGUAACUAAAAAAAAAAUCGUUUGUUAAGUGGGAAUGCAAUUUCAUGGUUGAAAAGAAACUUUGGGAGGAGAAAAAUGUAGUGGCAGGGAAAUGUUUAUGGAGGAUCUACUGGGGAUCAAGCAUUGUGAUAGAGCUUUAUCUUUAAUUAUUUUGUUUAAUAAACAAAGUGCAGAACAUGUUAUAAACCCAAUUUUUCAGAUGAAGUAAUAGAAACUUAGGUAAGUUAAUUAAAUUUACCAGGAUUAUACAGCCUAUGGAUGGAUGAGCUAGGCUUUAAAAGUUGUUUCUAAGGUCAAAGACUGAGUUCAUAGUUACCAUACCAGUCUAGUUCAAACUCCUUAUUUUAUAGAGAAGCUUCAGCCUGAACAAUGGAUGGGUGACAAAUCUGGUACUAGCCUAUUUCCAGGUUUCCUUACACUCUGCUAAUUAUAUCUGCCAUGCCUGUCCCAUUGAAAUGAUUGUUUGAAAUCAGACAAUGGCCAGGAAAGUGAUUUGAAGGGUGUUAUGUGCUAUACAAUAUCAUUUAGAACCCUGAACUUGAAAGCUCUCAGGUCUCUUUCUAUCUUUUUUGCUUUGUCAUUAGUCUUUGCUUCUCUCUGUGGGCUUUUUUCUUUCUUUUAGGCUGGUUAUCUCAGUGAGACUGGCACCAUAGCAAUCAUUAAAUCCUGGGCUCAUAUCUUCUCAACCUUCCACCCAGAAGAAUUGGCUUAAACGAAUGUAGAGGCUUAUUUGUCUCACAUGACAGGAAACACAGCUAUAGGCAACAGCUAGAGUUGACUUAAUAGCUCUAGGAUGCCAAGGAAAGCAUUUCAGUUAUUCAUUCUUAAAUUUGUUUAAGCUAAUAAUAGUUUUUCUGUGACCUGGAGUUGCACCUGAGUUAAACUGAGCAACUGCUGGAACAUGGUAAUUGGCCCAGGUGUAGGCACUUGACCCAAGUCAGAUUAGACCCAGUUCUCGAGGAACUUCUGAAAGUGAGCUGUAAAGAAAAAAAAAAAAAUUCCUCCAUGUCACAUGGCUACACUUAGCUG
rnacentral:lncRNA from 1 species